rnacentral:lncRNA from 1 species
AUGAGAUUAUAUUGGGUGAAUUAGGGUGAUCCCCAAAUCCAAUGACAGUAGUGCAUCUUUAUAAGAAAUAGAAAAAGAACACAGAGAGACACAAAGAAAAUGGCCAUGUGAAAAGACAGAGCAGAGACUAGAGCUGUGCAGCCACAAUCCAAGGAACACCAGAGACCACCAGAUGCUGGCAGAGGCACAGAAAGAUUCAGAAGGAGCCUGUCCCUGCCAAUAUCUUAAUUUCAGAUCUUGGGCCUCCAGAAUGGUGGGAGAAUGAAUUUCUGUUGUUUUAAGUCAACAGGUUUGUGGUAAUUUGUUGCAAUAGCCACAGGAAACUAAUACAGGACCUGAGAGGCAAUAUAACUAACCAGAGAUCUGCAGUUAGUACAUCUGAUAUACCGAUCUCCUUCCUUCAGCUAUUAAGAGCAGAUGUCGACAGACCACAGAUGAUAGUGCCUUGUUGUUAUAAAGCCAUUUUCAAAAGCCUUCACAUUCACGACCUUAUUUGAUCCUCCCUACAGCCCUACGAAGAAGCUGGUGGCAUUUGUAAGGCAGAGUUUGGACCAAACUUGGGAAUCCUGACUGUGGUCAAGAGCUCUUUCCUUUUUUCUGGUCCGCUGGUUCUCAGGCCUUUAGACUUGAACUGGAAUUACACUACUGGCUUUCCUGGAUCUCCAGCUUGCAGACGGCAGGUCAUGAAACUGGUAAGUCUCCAUAAUCACAUGAGCCAAUUCCUCAUAAUAAAUCUUUUUAUAUAUGCAUACGUAAAAAAGUUUAUAUGUUUAUUAUAAUUUAUAGAUUUAUUAUUAAAAAUAUUUAUAUGUAUACACAAUAGUAAAAUCACACAGUAUAGUAAAUGCAGCUAUAUAUAAAAUAAAUCCUGUUGAUUCUGUUUAUAUAUUCAUAUAUAUAUAUAUAUAUAUAUAUAUAUAUAUAUAUAUAAAUCCUGUUGAUUCUGUUUCUCUGGAGAUCCCUAACUAAUAUUCAUCUCCUCUUUUAAAAAUCACGAAUGUAAUAUAACACUAAAAAAAGUUUAUAAAAGAAAGAAAAUGAAAUGUCAUCCAGGUACAGUGGCUUACACCUGUAAUCGUAACACUUUGGGAGGCCAAGGCAGUAAGAUCACUUGAGGCCAAGAGUUUAAGACCAGCCUGGGCAACAUAAUGAGACCCCAGCCCCACAAAAAAAAUUUUUUUAAUUCGUCAAGCAUGGUGGUGCAUGCA